rnacentral:rRNA from 1 species
CCUACGGGAGGCAGCAGUGAGGAAUAUUGGUCAAUGAGCGCGAGCCUGAACCAGCCAAGUAGCGUGAAGGAUGACUGCCCUACGGGUUGUAAACUUCUUUUAUAAAGGAAUAAAUUGAGGCAAGUGUGCCUUUUUGUAUGUACUUUAUGAAUAAGGAUCGGCUAACUCCGCGCCAACAGCCGCGGUAAUACGGAGGAUCCGAGCGUUAUCCGGAUAUAUUUGGUUUAAAGGGAGCGUAGAUGGGUUGUUAAGUCAGUUGUGAAAGUUUGCGGGUCAACCGUAAAAUUGCAAUUGAUACUGGCAGCCUUGAGUAACAUUGAGGUAGGCGGAAUUCGUGGUGUAGCGGUGAAAUGCUUAGAUAUCACGAAGAACUCCGAUUGCGAAGGCAGCUUACUAAACUGCCACUGACAUUGAUGCUCGAAAGUGUGGGUAUCAAACAGGAUUAGAUACCCGUGUAGUC